GUUUUUAUGUCUUAUAAUGCAUGUUGAACUUUUUUUAUUUUUACCUUGAUUAAAUAUUGGUCCUGUAAAUAUAUGUUAACAUUCAUAAACUUAUAUUGGACAUCUAAAAUAUACUUCUUUCUGAGUGUCUUUGUUUAUGGCUUAUGUUGUGCUUUUAGUGGUUUGGGAACCUGGUCACUAUGGAAUGGUGGAAUGAUCUUUGGCUAAAUGAAGGAUUUGCCAAAUUUAUGGAGUUUGUGUCUGUCAGUGUGACCCAUCCUGAACUGAAAGUUGGAGAUUAUUUCUUUGGCAAAUGUUUUGACGCAAUGGAGGUAGAUGCUUUAAAUUCCUCACACCCUGUGUCUACACCUGUGGAAAAUCCUGCUCAGAUCCGGGAGAUGUUUGAUGAUGUUUCUUAUGAUAAGGGAGCUUGUAUUCUGAAUAUGCUAAGGGAGUAUCUUAGUGCUGACGCAUUUAAAAGUGG
rnacentral:sRNA from 1 species